rnacentral:rRNA from 1 species
AUGGCUCAGGACGAACGCUGGCUGCGUGCUUAACACAUGCAAGUCGAACGCUGAAGCCCUGGUGCUUGCACCGGGGUGGAUGAGUGGCGAACGGGUGAGUAACACGUGAGUAACCUGCCCCCGACUUCGGGAUAAGCCCGGGAAACUGGGUCUAAUACCGGAUAUGACGACCGAAGGCAUCUUUGGUUGUGGAAAGUUUUUUCGGUUGGGGAUGGGCUCGCGGCCUAUCAGUUUGUUGGUGAGGUAAUGGCUCACCAAGACGACGACGGGUAGCCGGCCUGAGAGGGCGACCGGCCACACUGGGACUGAGACACGGCCCAGACUCCUACGGGAGGCAGCAGUGGGGAAUAUUGCACAAUGGGGGAAACCCUGAUGCAGCGACGCAGCGUGCGGGAUGACGGCCUUCGGGUUGUAAACCGCUUUCAGCAGGGAAGAAGCCUUUCGGGGUGACGGUACCUGCAGAAGAAGUACCGGCUAACUACGUGCCAGCAGCCGCGGUAAUACGUAGGGUACAAGCGUUGUCCGGAAUUAUUGGGCGUAAAGAGCUCGUAGGUGGUUGGUCACGUCUGCUGUGGAAACGCAACGCUUAACGUUGCGCGUGCAGUGGGUACGGGCUGACUAGAGUGCAGUAGGGGAGUCUGGAAUUCCUGGUGUAGCGGUGAAAUGCGCAGAUAUCAGGAGGAACACCGGUGGCGAAGGCGGGACUCUGGGCUGUAACUGACACUGAGGAGCGAAAGCAUGGGGAGCGAACAGGAUUAGAUACCCUGGUAGUCCAUGCCGUAAACGUUGGGCACUAGGUGUGGGGGACAUUCCACGUUCUCCGCGCCGUAGCUAACGCAUA